rnacentral:rRNA from 1 species
GACAGAGGGUGCAAACGUUGUUCGGAAUUACUGGGCGUAAAGCGCGCGUAGGCGGCUUUGCAAGUCGGGUGUGAAAUCCCCAAGCUUAACUUGGGAACUGCAUUCGAGACUGCAUUGCUAGAGUAUGGGAGAGGGAAGUGGAAUUUCCGGUGUAGCGGUGAAAUGCGUAGAUAUCGGAAGGAACAUCAGUGGCGAAAGCGACUUCCUGGACCAAUACUGACGCUCAUGUGCGAAAGCGUGGGGAGCAAACAGG